GCAACGACACACCAAAGCACGGCCGGGUUCCGACGAGCCACGGUGCGUUUAAAGACUACCGGACAGACGGCAUUAGCAUCCUUAUUGCUGGAUCCGAAAGCACAAUAAGCCUUCUACAGAAAAGGAGAAGCUCUGUGUUGCAGAGACGCAUUCUUCACCCGGCUCUAUUGGGUUACAUGGUGAGAAUGUGGUGCCAAAUGAUGCUCGAUGGAGAACAAGGAGCAGAUUAGCCUUGGAGGGCGAACAGCACGUGGACUCAUUCAAAUGUCUCGUCGAGGAAUACAAUAAAAAAUACAAAACUAUAGAGGCUGUUAAAAAGGACUGGCUCGGGCAGAUACAACAACCUUGAGAGGCAGAAAAUGUUGGAAGAAGCAACAAUGUUUAUACAUUUGAGUAAAAAAAAAAGCAAUGAAGCCAUUGUAUAAGCACAGCUCAACCUAUUAUGCUUUUCCCCAGUUUGCCAUGGCAACAGCAUUUUCAACUGUUCUGUUGAAAUCUUUCAAUUUGCCACUGUGUUUGACCUCAGCUCAUAAUAAGUUAAAAGUUUUAAGUGCCUUCCUAUUAGUGCCAUAAAGAACCAGCCAUAAAUGCAUCUACCGCUGCAACUAUACAAUGAGUGACACAUCAUCUCCCUGCUCCUGCGCUUACAGUGCGUCAUCGUUUAUGAUUACUCCAAAUUAAACUCGUGUUAAAACACUGUUUUCCUACUUUGUCAUGCUUAUUUUUGGUCAGUAUAGAGCAGGCACUGAACACCGGCCAGCAACCUGCUACCUCACACAUUAUUUGCCCUUCAAUACCUGACUGAACAGGUACAGUAGCAUGAGCACUUGAAUAUAUCUUUUGUUCAGUACUGCCCCUUAGCUUGGGUCUCAGCGAGUGGGCUUUGAGUAGUUCUUUCAGCCAAAGUGCUCCAAAACUUUUAUCUCAUUAGGAAAUCUGAAAUUCAUAUUGUAGAUUUUAUUUUUUGCCACAGAUUAUGUGGAAUAAAUGACAUUAAUGAGACCAGGGAGUGUGGGAGCAGUUAGAAACUGCUCAUAUGUGCGAACUAAGAAACAAAACCAAAUAACUUGACGUUCCAGGCUCUAAAAGUUUUAGUCACUCUUUUUUUGCAAUAAAAAACCGAACGAAAAGGGUUGAAAACGUUCCCUUUUCCCUCACUCAAACAAAUCCUUAUCACUUUUUACAGUAAGCUGGAACUCUGCUGGAACCUUGAUGGUCAACAUGAAUUUCACUAUUGAUGUGUUCAGGUACGAGCCACUUUGAGGCCUGGGUUCUGUUGGACCAAACUGAGCCUUAAGGCUGUGCCAAAGGGGUUGCUACAGCACCUACAAACGUGUGUUCCUCAUAAGAAUGCAUGACCAGACAAACCCCCGUGGCCGGCGCUGGUUGGUCAGAGUUUCUGCUUUGCACCCGGCUGCGUAAUGAGGGAGUAGAACACCUGGACGAGCCGCUCUGUGAUUAGGUUUGGCAUUUCCAGAAAGAGGUGAACAGAGCGGAUGUAGUCAGCGAGAACAAGCCGGAGUGUAUCGUGGAAUAAGUUACACCGCCACUAGACAACUAUGAUACAUGGUAGCCUUGUGAUAAGGCCAAUGAAAUUUAGUGUACGGCGCUGCACAUGGCUUGAUAAGUGUGAUGUAGAGGGAUUUGGAGGGGAUUUGGAUAGAUGUGUAUGUAAUCUUUCUCACCCUCCUUCAAAAUGAAUCCUUUAUUCCUUUAAGCCACAUCUGAUGGGACCUCAGUGGGCACUCAAUCAAAACCUCUUUCUCCUUCACUCUCUCUCUGGGUUGGCAAAUUUGUCCAAGCCUCCUUCCAGCAACAUUGUUAGUAAAAUAGCCUUCACACACACCGUGGAGGAAGCAGUACUGCUUGCACAUAUG